AUUGAACGCUGGCGGCAGGCCUAACACAUGCAAGUCGAGCGAGCGGCGGACGGGUGAGUAAUGUCUGGGAAACUGCCUGAUGGAGGGGGAUAACUACUGGAAACGGUAGCUAAUACCGCAUACCAUCAGCUGUGCCACGAUGGGAUUAGCUAGUAGGGGGGGUAACGGCUCACCUAGGCGACGAACCCUAGAUGGUCUGAGAGGAUGACCAUCCACACGUGAACGUAGACAAUGUCCAGACUCCGACGGGAGGCAGCAGUGGUGAAGAUUGCACAAUGGGCGGAAGCCGGAUGCAGCCGUGCAGCGGGUAUGAAGAAGGCAUUCGGGUUGUAAAGUACUUUCAGCGGGGAGGCGUUACCCGCAGAAGAAGCACCGGCUAACGCCGUGCCAGCCGCCGGGGUAAUUC
rnacentral:rRNA from 1 species